rnacentral:tRNA from 1 species
AGGAUAAUAGUUAAAUUUCUCAUAACAAUUGAUUUGCAGUCAAAAAUUAUUAUUUAUAAUUUAUCUUA